UACGGGGGGGGGCAAGCGUUGUUCGGAAUUACUGGGCGUAAAGGGCUCGUAGGUGGCCAACUAAGUCAGACGUGAAAUCCCUCGGCUUAACCGGGGAACUGCGUCUGAUACUGGAUGGCUUGAGUUCGGGAGAGGGAUGCGGAAUUCCAGGUGUAGCGGUGAAAUGCGUAGAGAUCGGCAGGAACACCUAUUGCGAAGGCAGCUCGCUGGGACGUUACUGACGCUGAGACGCGAAAGCGUGGGGAGCAAACAGG
rnacentral:rRNA from 1 species